rnacentral:rRNA from 1 species
GAGGCCGAAAGGCGUAGUCGAUGGGAAACAGGUUAAUAUUCCUGUACUUGGUGUUACUGCGAAGGGGGGACGGAGAAGGCUAUGUUGGCCGGGCGACGGUUGUCCCGGUUUAAGCGUGUAGGUGUGUGUUCCAGGUAAAUCCGGUUCACUCUAACACUGAGGCGUGACGACGAGGCACCACGGUGCUGAAGCAACAAAUGCCCUGCUUCCAGGAAAAGCCUCUAAGCAUCAGGUAACAUCAAAUCGUACCCCAAACCGACACAGGUGGUCAGGUAGAGAAUACCAAGGCGCUUGAGAGAACUCGGGUGAAGGAACUAGGCAAAAUGGUGCCGUAACUUCGGGAGAAGGCACGCUGACACGUAGGUGAAGUGAUUUACUCAUGGAGCUGAAGUCAGUCGAAGAUACCAGCUGGCUGCAACUGUUUAUUAAAAACACAGCACUGUGCAAACACGAAAGUGGACGUAUACGGUGUGACGCCUGCCCGGUGCCGGAAGGUUAAUUGAUGGGGUCAGCGCAAGCGAAGCUCCUGAUCGAAGCCCCGGUAAACGGCGGCCGUAACUAUAACGGUCCUAAGGUAGCGAAAUUCCUUGUCGGGUAAGUUCCGACCUGCACGAAUGGCGUAAUGAUGGCCAGGCUGUCUCCACCCGAGACUCAGUGAAAUUGAACUCGCUGUGAAGAUGCAGUGUACCCGCGGCAAGACGGAAAGACCCCGUGAACCUUUACUAUAGCUUGACACUGAACAUUGAGCCUUGAUGUGUAGGAUAGGUGGGAGGCUUUGAAGCGUGGACGCCAGUCUGCGUGGAGCCGACCUUGAAAUACCACCCUUUAAUGUUUGAUGUUCUAACGUGGACCCGUAAUCCGGGUUGCGGACAGUGUCUGGUGGGUAGUUUGACUGGGGCGGUCUCCUCCUAAAGAGUAACGGAGGAGCACGAAGGUUGGCUAAUCCUGGUCGGACAUCAGGAGGUUAGUGCAAUGGCAUAAGCCAGCUUGACUGCGAGCGUGACGGCGCGAGCAGGUGCGAAAGCAGGUCAUAGUGAUCCGGUGGUUCUGAAUGGAAGGGCCAUCGCUCAACGGAUAAAAGGUACUCCGGGGAUAACAGGCUGAUACCGCCCAAGAGUUCAUAUCGACGGCGGUGUUUGGCACCUCGAUGUCGGCUCAUCACAUCCUGGGGCUGAAGUAGGUCCCAAGGGUAUGGCUGUUCGCCAUUUAAAGUGGUACGCGAGCUGGGUUUAGAACGUCGUGAGACAGUUCGGUCCCUAUCUGCCGUGGGCGCUGGAAGACUGAGGGGGGCUGCUCCUAGUACGAGAGGACCGGAGUGGACGCAUCACUGGUGUUCGGGUUGUCAUGCCAAUGGCACUGCCCGGUAGCUAAAUGCGGAAAAGAUAAGUGCUGAAAGCAUCUAAGCACGAAACUUGCCCCGAGAUGAGUCUUCCCUGAGACUUUGAGUCUCCUGAAGGAACGUUAAAGACGAUGACGUUGAUAGGCCGGGUGUGUAAGCGCAGCGAUGCGUUGAGCUAACCGGUACUAAUGAACCGUGAGG